AAAUAAACCUGAUCGGACGGAUGCCAAUUUUUCAUUGGCAGGAGAGAGAGCAGGACGGGAC
rnacentral:sRNA from 1 species